ACAAUGCUCAGCCUCAUUUCUUGCUAAUAAUUUUUAAAACCAACUCUAUAAGGUAGAGCCUGUCAUUUUUCCUGUUUUAUACAUGAAGAAAAUGAAACACGGAGUAGUUAAGUCACCUGCCUAUAAGGAAACUCAAUUAAUGAAUGGAGUAGCCAGGAUUUGAAUUCAGGUGUGACCAUAAAGGCCAUGUGCACCUUCUACUCACUCCACAGCCUCUGGAGUGGCUGUAUGAUUGUUGCAGCAUGGAAUACACCGGUUCUCUCCAUCCGCAAACCAAAAAGAUUGCAUUAUCAUAAUGUUUGGUCAGCUCCCCAUGGAAGCCCCCCAAAACCCAUUAAAGAAGCCCAUUCUCUAGGGCCCCAAUGAAUCUCACUAAGUAAAUUGCCUUUUGAAAGUAAAAGGAAAAUGAAACAUCUAUGGCCUCAAACUUUAUAUGAGCAAUAAUUCAGGAAUCUCUUUCAGAACCCAGAGAGGAAAGCUCCCCAUGGGAAGAAGGAGGGGUGUAGAAGUGUGAUUCCUGGGUGUAGAGCCAGAAACUCAUUAAUAUUUGUGGAAUCCUUGAAAGAGAAAAAGCACAGUUUGAACUGGAACAUUCCAAAGCAGUAAUUCAUUUCCCAAAUUAAUGUGCUGUGGUAUAAUCGUUAGGAAGAAGAGCGAGGGUCCGAGGGCCCUGCCGAUGUAGGAGAUAAAUCUCUGGGCUCCCGAAAUGUUUUUCAUUUUAAAAGUUCAAGUCAUCACUCAACAUGGGCCAGAGAAUACUAAGACCUUUGACAGUGAACCUCUUACAGGAUGGAGAAGCUGAGGCCUUAACUCACAAGGUUGUGCCUUUAUAAGGCAACAAAGCAAAAGCAAGUGUGUCAUAGAUGGAAACCUGUUUACCUAGAUCUCACCGACCUGUUGAGAGGAAAGGAGCCAACCUGGCCUGGUGACCUUCUCUGUGCAAGCAGGGAGCAGGCACACACCACCAAUGAGUGAAGAAGGCUGCUGUGGCAUGCUCGGGACCUAGAGGGAACCUGCCUCAUUGACAGGGGACAGCAGCUGCACAGCUCCAGACAAUCGUUGUCAAGGACGGGAAUGAGAUUCUAACAUGGCUGAUCUGAUUUUUCAAGAAAGGUGAAAGACCCAAAUUCAUGGAAGAGAAGUGAGUCACACAGGGAGCCAGUGGCAGAGCCACACCCCACAGAGCAAUCAACAUGCUCUACUCUGCAGACCUGCAACAGGGAGGGAAGCCAGACUCUGAUGCAAGAAGGAAAGACCAUGUGCUGGCUCAGUGUGUGCAGCCUGGACUGAGCUACUGAACUCUAAAUCCAAGGAUGACUAAUAGGCAGAAUGACAUUAAUACCAGACCUGAUGAAGACAGCACAAAAAGUAAAUCUCAACACAACCUCACAAUAUUAAUAAAGCAAAAAUUUUAAAUACA
rnacentral:lncRNA from 1 species